rnacentral:lncRNA from 1 species
GCUUUGAGAAUAAGGAACUAAUUGGCUGCGAACAGUUUCAGUCUAAUGACCUCUUACCAGAAGCUCAACAGUGCAUUAAGGUUUAUACCCGGGGUUGGUUAGAUUAGUUUCAAUUUCAGGUAGUGGGUAUCUAUCCAAUUACUCUCCUCCUCCUCGCUAGGAGUAGAGCACAUGGCAUUCCUUCUGCUACUGGAUGUGCUAAGCAGCAUGCGAGUUGGCAACUUGGGCUGAAAAGCAAAUUAGCAUUAUGCAAACUGCAGGAUUCUGGCACUCACAUUAGGAUCACUGAUCUGGCAAGAAAUCCUGCCAAGCUACCAAGCUUUCCUGAGCCCAGGGAGAGCUGCAAACCCUAAUCCAAGAGACCAGCUGACAAUAACAAAACAAAAAGAGAUUGCGGGGGAGGGGGAACAAAUCUUAAUUGUCUGGGAGGAUACUGGUGGGAGCUUGGAGGUGGAUUUCCUACAGAGACCUGACUCCUGUAUUGCAGUGAAGAAAUACAGAUAGAAAGGAGAGUACAAGCAAGCUGAUCCUCUACUGUGUUUCCUCUACCACACACUGGUUUCUCUAUUUACAUCACAACCUCUUUGUGCAGUGUAAUUGUCUAGCACAAUGGGGCCCUCAGUGGGAACCUCAAGGUAUUUCCAUCAUAAGAAUAACAAACAACAGCAAGGAAGAAGAACAAAAGGAGAAACACUGCGAUUACAAGAAUAGGUCCAACCUUCAUCAGACUGAAGAGUUUCAGGAUUUGGGACAUUUCAAAACUGGAGACAGAAGCAAAUGAGAGGAUCCAACACUGGCUUUUAUCUUGAGCUGUGAUGUGUACCUCCAAAGAAUCGUGGCAUGCCCUGUAUGCAUUGCUUCUAUUGUUAGAACAUAUCAAAGUGAGAGUACAGU